AAUUUGGUUUCACAUAGCGUGAAUUAAAAGGGAAUCAGGUGAGAAUCCUGAACAGACCCGCUGCUGUAUUUCCCCUUUAAGUUGUCACACACAUAGCGUCACUGUCAUCAUUGAUGGGAAGGCCGUGCCGACAAUGGGAUAAGUCAGAAGACCUGCCAAGUUGG
rnacentral:ncRNA from 1 species